CGGGGUGCAGCAGGCGCGAAAACUUUGCAAUACACGAAAGUGUGACAGGGCUAUCCCGAGUGCCAUCCGCUGAGGAAGGCUUUUACCCAGUCUAGAACGCUGGGGGAAUAAGGAGAGGGCAAGUCUGGUGUCAGCCGCCGCGGUAAUACCAGCUCUUCGAGUGGUGUGGAUGUUUAUUGGGCCUAAAGCAUCCGUAGCUGGCUGAGUUAGUCCCCUGUUAAAUCCACCGAAUUAAUCGUUGGAUUGCGGGGGAUACUGCUUGGCUAGGGGACGAGAGAGGCAGACGGUAUUUCCGGGGUAGGGGUGAAAUCCUAUAAUCCCGGGAAGACCACCAGUGGCGAAGGCUGUCUGCUAGAACGCGCCCGACGGUGAGGGAUGAAAGCUGGGGGAGCGAACCGGAUUAGAUACCCGGGUAGUCCCAGCUGUAAACGAUGCAGGCUAGGUGUUUGGACGGCCACGUGCCGUUCUAGUGCCGCAGGGAAGCUGUUAAGCCUGCCGCCUGGGGAGUACGAUCGCAAGAUUGAAACUUAAAGGAAUUGGCGGGGGAGCAC
rnacentral:rRNA from 1 species